rnacentral:rRNA from 1 species
AUUGAACGCUGGCGGCAUGCCUUACACAUGCAAGUCGAACGGUAACAGGUCUUCGGAUGCUGACGAGUGGCGAACGGGUGAGUAAUACAUCGGAACGUGCCCAAUCGUGGGGGAUAACGCAGCGAAAGCUGUGCUAAUACCGCAUAAGAUCUACGGAUGAAAGCGGGGGAUCGCAAGACCUCGCGCGAAUGGAGCGGCCGAUGGCAGAUUAGGUAGUUGGCGGGGUAAAAGCCCACCAAGCCGACGAUCUGUAGCUGGUCUGAGAGGACGACCAGCCACACUGGGACUGAGACACGGCCCAGACUCCUACGGGAGGCAGCAGUGGGGAAUUUUGGACAAUGGGCGCAAGCCUGAUCCAGCAAUGCCGCGUGCAGGAAGAAGGCCUUCGGGUUGUAAACUGCUUUUGUACGGGGCGAAAAGGUCUCCUCUAAUACAGGGGGCUCAUGACGGUACCGUAAGAAUAAGCACCGGCUAACUACGUGCCAGCAGCCGCGGUAA